UGGCUAGGGGUGAAAGGCCAAUCAAACCUGGAGAUAGCUGGUUCUCCCCGAAAGCUAUUUAGGUAGCGCCUCGGACGAAUACUACUGGGGGUAGAGCACUGUUAAGGCUAGGGGGUCAUCCCGACUUACCAACCCUUUGCAAACUCCGAAUACCAGUAAGUACUAUCCGGGAGACACACGGCGGGUGCUAACGUCCGUCGUGGAGAGGGAAACAACCCAGACCGCCAGCUAAGGUCCCAAAUUACUACUAAGUGGGAAACGAUGUGGGAAGGCUCAGACAGCCAGGAUGUUGGCUUAGAAGCAGCCAUCAUUUAAAGAAAGCGUAAUAGCUCACUGGUCGAGUCGGCCUGCGCGGAAGAUGUAACGGGGCUAAGUAGUAAACCGAAGCUGCGGCAAUGUGCUUUUGCACAUUGGGUAGGGGAGCGUUCUGUAAGCGGUUGAAGGUGUGUGGUAACGCAUGCUGGACGUAUCAGAAGUGCGAAUGCUGACAUGAGUAACGAUAAAGGGGGUGAAAAACCUCCUCGCCGGAAGACCAAGGGUUCCUGUCCAACGUUAAUCGGGGCAGGGUAAGUCGACCCCUAAGGCGAGGCCGAAAGGCGUAGUCGAUGGGAAACGGGUUAAUAUUCCCGUACUUCUUACAAUUGCGAUGGGGGGACGGAGAAGGCUAGGUGGGCCUGGCGACGGUUGUCCAGGUUCAAGUGCGUAGGCUUAAGAGUUAGGUAAAUCCGGCUCUUUUUAAGGCUGAGACACGACGUCGAGCACCUACGGGUGUGAAGUCAUUGAUGCCAUGCUUCCAGGAAAAGCCUCUAAGCUUCAGAUUGUAAGGAAUCGUACCCCAAACCGACACAGGUGGUCGGGUAGAGAAUACCAAGGCGCUUGAGAGAACUCGGGUGAAGGAACUAGGCAAAAUGGUACCGUAACUUCGGGAGAAGGUACGCUCUUGAUGGUGAAGUCCCUUGCGGAUGGAGCUGACGAGAGUCGCAGAUACCAGGUGGCUGCAACUGUUUAUUAAAAACACAGCACUGUGCAAAAUCGUAAGAUGACGUAUACGGUGUGACGCCUGCCCGGUGCCGGAAGGUUAAUUGAUGGGGUUAGACUUCGGUCGAAGCUCUUGAUCGAAGCCCCGGUAAACGGCGGCCGUAACUAUAACGGUCCUAAGGUAGCGAAAUUCCUUGUCGGGUAAGUUCCGACCUGCACGAAUGGCGUAAUGAUGGCCACGCUGUCUCCACCCGAGACUCAGUGAAAUUGAAAUCGCUGUGAAGAUGCAGUGUACCCGCGGCUAGACGGAAAGACCCCGUGAACCUUUACUACAGCUUGGCACUGAACAUUGACCCUACAUGUGUAGGAUAGGUGGGAGGCUUUGAAGCAGGUACGCCAGUAUCUGUGGAGCCGUCCUUGAAAUACCACCCUUGUAGUGUUGAUGUUCUAACGUCGACCCCUUAUCGGGGUUGCGGACAGUGCCUGGUGGGUAGUUUGACUGGGGCGGUCUCCUCCCAAAGAGUAACGGAGGAGCACGAAGGUGGGCUAAUCACGGUUGGACAUCGUGAGGUUAGUGCAAUGGCAUAAGCCCGCUUGACUGCGAGAAUGACAAUUCGAGCAGGUGCGAAAGCAGGUCAUAGUGAUCCGGUGGUUCUGAAUGGAAGGGCCAUCGCUCAACGGAUAAAAGGUACUCCGGGGAUAACAGGCUGAUACCGCCCAAGAGUUCAUAUCGACGGCGGUGUUUGGCACCUCGAUGUCGG
rnacentral:rRNA from 1 species